rnacentral:rRNA from 1 species
UACGAAGGGUGCAAGCGUUACUCGGAAUUACUGGGCGUAAAGGGUGCGUAGGUGGUCGUUUAAGUCCGUUGUGAAAUUCCAGGGCUCAACCUUGGGGCUGCGUUCGAGACGUGUGGGCUAGAGUGUGGAAGAGGGUCGUGGAAUUCCCAGUGUAGAGGUGAAAUUCGUAGAUAUUGGGAAGAACACCGGUGGCGAAGGCGGCGACCUGGUCCAUUUACUGACGCUGGAGGCGCGAAAGCGUGGGGAGCAAACAGG